CUACCACAGGCAAGGGAGAUCGGACCCCGAAGUCAGUAGGGACACACCGAAUGCCACUGAAAGUGAAACAAAGCUACCAAUUGACGGAGCCUACCACAGGCAAGGGAGAUCGGACCCCGAAGUCAGUAGGGACACACCGAAUGCCACUGAAAGUGAAACAAAGCUACCAGUCGACGGAGCCUACCGCAGGCGUGGGAGAUUGGAUCCCGAAGACAAUAAGGACACACCAAACACCAUUACAGAUAAAAAGAAGCAAUGAACGACACCAUUUACAAGGAGUUAAACUCAAGAAACACACAUCAUGCGUGGGAAGCAUAAUCUCAAGAUCCCUGGACGGUGUACUGAUGAUGGAUACAGCAGAGAGUAUCAGUCAGAUCCAGCGUGUUACAUAAUCCAGUAAAUCUGUCAAACUAAGGUCUUCAAGGCACCACGUAGUGUUCGGGCGUUUGCAUGACUUAUCAUCCCGGGUAUUACCCAAAAGUAACGCGACCAUGGGCGCGGAUAUUCCAAGGCACUUGGAAUUGUGAACCCUAUUUCUGGACUCAUGCAAAUUGUGAGCGAGGAAAUGCGCUCUUUCUCGAACUAACUACAAAGCUAUGCACUCGACAGCAGUCAGCGACUAAGCCACAAGGCACGAAAAUAGGCAGUUUGCGGAAUCAUUACUCUUGAUGAUGUCCUAGCCCUAAAUCAUUUAGCCAAUUACUUAUAUGAAUCCCUCUAUGUUAUUCGUUAUUUGUAAGAUUGUUCUGGUUUGGUCAAUAACUAGAAACAAUUGAGUUGAAUGUCUCACUGUGGGACUGCUAGCAUAGAGAUGAUGGACAAGAACUGCUCUAGAGACCAUUUGCCAAGACUUCGUUGGCGUCUGAUCAAUUUGUCUGACAGGACUCGCUGUCGUUGGUGAUAUCAUUAUGAGUUUUGGAUUUUGAUUACUCGCUCUGGCAAGUGGUAAGACUUGCGGAAUUUAGUUUGGAAUUUUGUAUCGAUUAGAUUGUCUUGAAGUCUGUUCAAGCUAAACUACCACGAUCAGUCCAGUCUCUAGAGAACUUCUUAAAGGAAGUGAAAGUUUAGAAUUUUUCAUGAAUCGCCAUACCGAUUCAUGAAAAAUUCAAUCCCCACAGUGAAGUUGUGUUACGUUCGUAUUUUGAAGUUUAUUGAUUGAUUUUUUUUAUGUGUGCAAACUAAAACUAAAACAAAAACAAACCCUAAAGUAAAAGUGAACACUUACCACAUAAUAUUGUGCUGCAAGGGUCACUGGGUUUGAAAACAAAACAGGAGAGCAGAAUUAUCUUGGCGGUCACAACCAACACAGCGAAAAAACGUCGUUUCCGUUUGCCACCCACUUGGACCGCCAGCUGCAACAAAAUAGCAAAGAAGACAGAGUGAGUUCGUCUGCCACGCUCGCCGCACCGAAGGAGCACCCCGUGAAGGCCUGGAUUAUCUUGCCGUUGCUAGUGGCCAGUGCGAAAGCAUAGUGAAGGCCAACGUGUUCGCAAAGACGAAGCGGUGCGUUAUAUAAACGUUAAAAUCGAUUGUCCUCGAAAUAAGACCCCCUACGAUCGGUAGAAAAGGCGUUAGCUCUUUGCUGCCGCAAGAAAGCGCAUGAAGGAACAACAUAAAUUGAGGCAAAGGGUUAACCGUCCGGAUCGGUGCAAUCGGAUAAGCUAAGCAGGCAAAAGUAGCGCCAAAAAAGGCAAAAGCAGCGAACUCGGGUGGGGCAACAGCACCGAACGUAAGAAGCAAGGCUUCGCAUAGCCAAGUGAGCGAAUCAAGGCAGGAAACGCAGGCAGCGAAGCGGAUAAUCCGGAAAGAAAAGGCUUGAGUCUGAGGGCGCUGUUCACGCUCCAAGGUGUCCAAAUUUCACCGGAAGAAUCGAACGGAGUCGAAAUUCCGACCAAGAGAGCCUCCACUAGGAGGCUCUUGUUUCUGGUUUUGGCUUCGUUUGAGUCAACGUGCGGUCGAAAGUGCUCCAAGGCACGGUCGUAGGAGCGAUCUAAGGUGUGGACUAGUCGGCAGGCCGCCUCCCCCUCCCCAACCAGUACUUCCGGAAGCAAGAACCGGUGGUAGUGAUCCGCGGGUUCGCGAAGCAGCGCUUGGCCGUGUAAAAGGGAAGAUUUGGUUUGAAGAGAGCGGUGCUCGUGAGUAGCCCCGUGAUGGGAAAAAAGGGGGGAAUGGUGUGAAAGAAAAAAGAAGGAAGGAAGCGUAGACGGUUAGCAGGCAUGAAGGGUAGAAGUUAAGAGAUGGGGAAAAAGUAAACAACCCUGUUAAAGGAGUAGA